CACAGGUGGAGAGUAAAUCACAAGCCUGGAGUGCUUCAGCUUGCUGCUAAAGCACCAUACAAUUGGAGAGGUCUAUGUCCAAUGCCUUCUGCUGCAUUUUAUAUAGGUGGCACUCCAUUUGAGACCAGGACCCACAGUUUGAGAAGCUGUCUACAUCAUUGUUAUUUGGGUUCCAUGGAGGAGUUUUCAUGUUCAAAACUACAGCAGCAGAGGGAGGAGAGACCUGACCAGGCACACCAACCAAACCUUGUUUAGCCCUGCUGGACAGUCACAGUUACAUUUGCUGUUAUUUGUCACUCUGACAGUUGCCACAGAGGUCUGGAGACCUCUUGGCUAUCAAUGGGCACCUUUUGCGAUGAUCCUGGAUGCUUCCUUUAGAGACGUUUCAAAAGGCCCAGCCAUGACUGCUAUAAAGACUGCAUAAUUGCAUAUUGGGGUCCAUCUGUACAGUAGUUACUUAUGAUGAUACGGUGGAGGUGGAUCCACAGAGAAGUUUACUCCAUUAGAGAAGACUCCUCCUGAUUCAACAUUAUGCCUUUUAGAAAAAUAUUUGGACAUCACAGCAGCAGCAUUCAGAGGAAAAACAUAAGGAUAAAAAUAAGUAGUUUACCAGCUUCUCAUUCAAAUUAUUUGAAGUGAAAAUGAUGGUCUUCUUGUGACACCGUAAUGAUGAACUUUAAGAAAAACAUAAAACUGCCUCCUUUUUAACAGUUAAGCCAGCAUUUGAAAUUGGUAGUGCAGAUUAACUAUUUGACAUUCAUGUGGCAUUUUUCUGUCUUCAUUUUUCAGGAUUUUUAAUGUUUUUGGGAAGGAUUGUUCUUCUAUCUUCUGUAUUGUCAGAAAAAAAUGCACUCAACGCAUAGCAUUCAACAAAGUAAAAUGUUAGUUUCAUCAAAUACAUUUUUGUGAUCAUUUCUGGGGGUUUUGUUCAUUCUAAUUAUACAACUGUGGGAGUAUAAUUUCAGUGUUCUGCCAUGAAGAACAUUCUAUUCCUAAUCAAAUGGAUACAAUUUAUCCUAUCAAUAGGCAGUUUAGCAUGGAUAAUCUCUUUGGUAAAGUGGACUUACUUUUAAAAUUAGAAACAAUGGCUUCUGUACCAGAGCUUUUCAGUGAAGUUGACCCAUUGUUUCUUCUGCAAUUCACCAGAAGCAAAAUUGAAAUAGUCAUUCUACAUAGCACUUAGUAUUGCACCAUUUAAUCCACUGUAAAAGUCUUUUUCCCUUACAAUCAAGAUCUUUUCAUAGUUAAUGUCUACUCAAGUAAGUCCCAUUUAACAAUGAUCCCCUGAAAUAUUAAUUCAAACUUUCUUCUUUAUUGGUUCAGCCCAUUUUAUUGCUGUCUUUCAGUGCUGCUGGGGCUUUUGUGAUGCAUUGUGCCUUCAUUAAUUCAACCAGGCAAUGUUAUUUCCCCAUUUUAGAAGUAGUUACUGGUUUCUUUGCAUUAUUAUACAUCAAAAUGGCCAUAUUUAUGUAGAAAGAAUGAAAAUCCAUCAUUCAGACAAGGGCUCAAUUUAACAGUGUCAGAGCAUAAAACUCCAGUGUGCUCAUGAGGGAGGUCCAGAACAUCAAGAGCUGUUCUUCUUUCUCUAGCUGUGCAACAGCAAACAAGUAGUACCUGGGAGUGCAUCUAGAGAGAACCAAUAGGCUUUUCAUUUGGGGAAGAAAACUAUAUAGUAAGGUGAAGGAUUUUGUAUAAAUUACUAAGAAUGUAUCCACACUGAAAUUACUCCUGGUUACAUUAGAAUAAAGUCCAAAGAAGAUUUUGACCACAAACACAAGGGACAAAAUUGACUCAUGGCCAGGUCAAUGCUAAUCCUCAUUUAUGCUUAACAGGAAGAAAUAAAAGAAAGCCACAUAUGAAAGUUCCAGAAGCCUUUAAGAGCAACCACCUCAGUAGUGUUAUUUCAUGAAUACAAAUGAAAUAAGAAGCAAGACACAAAGACUUGAGUUAUACAAUGGUUACUUUAUUUGUCAUAAACAGUUAUUUAAUGAAUAAAAAAGGAGGGUGAAGCAACCCAAUGUGGUCUGGCAGGGACCAUGUGUCUGUUUGUGAUCACUUUCUGAGUCUCCUUUGGGGGAAAAAUGGCCCUGAGGUGCAAUCCAAUGCUAUGAGUUGCCCCCCUCAGCUGGCCUUUUUCUGAAUGAUGAACUCAGGGCACUUCCUCCAAAGUUGCAGAGAGGACCACACCCCAAACUAUCCCCAAGAGCAGAUUCCUUUAAAGCUCUCCCAGUUGUCAGACAAAAAAUGGU